rnacentral:rRNA from 1 species
AUACGGAGGAUCCGAGCGUUAUCCGGAUUUAUUGGGUUUAAAGGGUGCGCAGGCGGCCAUUUAAGUCAGCGGUUAAAUCUUGGGGCUCAACCCCAUUCUGCCGUUGAUACUGGGUGGCUUGAUUGCGGUCGAGGUUGGCGGAAUUCGUUGUGUAGCGGUGAAAUGCAUAGAUAUGACGAAGAACACCGAUUGCGUAGGCAGCUGACCAGACCGCAAAUGACGCUCAUGCACGAAAGUGCGGGGAUCGAACAGGAUUAGAUACCCUGGUAGUCCGCACAGUAAACGAUGAAUACUUGUUUUCGGCGAUAUAAUGUCGGAGGCAAAGCGAAAGCGAUAAGUAUUCCACCUGGGGAGUACGCCGGCAACGGUGAAACUCAAAUGAAUUGACGGGG